rnacentral:rRNA from 1 species
UACAGAGGGUGCGAGCGUUAAUCGGAGUAACUGGGCGUAAAGGGCACGUAGGCGGUUAUAUUAGUCUGAUGUGAAAGACCUGGGCUUAACCUGGGAUGUGCAUUGGAAACGGUAUGGCUAGAGUAUGGGAGAGGGAAGUGGAAUUUCCGGUGUAGCGGUGAAAUGCGUAGAGAUCGGAAAGAACACUCGUGGCGAAGGCGGCUUUCUGGCCCAAAACUGACGCUGAGGUGCGAAAGCGUGGGGAGCAAGCAGG